GCAGCAACGCCGCGUGCGGGAAGAAGGCCCUAGGUUGUAAACCGCUUUCAGUAGGGAAGAAAAUGACGGUACCUACAGAAGAAGGUGCGGCCAACUACGUGCCAGCAGCCGCGGUGACACGUAGGCACCAAGCGUUAUCCGGAUUUAUUGGGCGUAAAGAGCUCGUAGACGGUUUGGUAAGUCGGGUGUGAAAACUCUGGGCUCAACCCAGAGAGGCCACCCGAUACUGCUAUGACUAGAGUACGGUAGGGGAGCGGGGAAUUCAUGGUGUAGCGGUGAAAUGCGCAGAUAUCAUGAGGAACACCAGCGGCGAAGGCGCCGCUCUGGGCCGUAACUGACGCUGAGGAGCGAAAGCAUGGGUAGCAAACAGGAUUAGAUACCCUGGUAGUCCAUGCCGUAAACGUUGGGCACUAGGUGUGGGUCUCAACCAACGAGAUCCGCGCCGUCGCUAACGCAUUAAGUGCCCCGCCUGGGGAGUACGGUCGCAAGACUA
rnacentral:rRNA from 1 species